rnacentral:rRNA from 1 species
GACGAACGCUGGCGGCGUGCUUAACACAUGCAAGUCGAACGGAAAGGCCCGGCUUUUGUGGGGGGCUCGAGUGGCGAACGGGUGAGUAACACGUGAGUAACCUGCCCUUGACGUUGGGAUAACUUCAGGAAACUGGGUCAAAUACCGGAUAGGAGCUCGGGCUGCAUGGUGGGGGUUGGAAAGUUUCGGCGGUUGGGGAUGGACUCGCGGCUUAUCAGCUUGUUGGUGGGGUAGUGGCUUACCAAGGCUUUGACGGGUAGCCGGCCUGAGAGGGUGACCGGGCACAUUGGGCCUGAGAUACGGACCAGUCGGCUACGGGAGGCAACAGUCGGAAGUAUUGCACAAUAGGCGGAAGCCUGAUGCAGCAACGCCGCGUGCGGGAUGAAGGCCUUCGCGUUGUGAACCGCUUUCGCCUGUGACGAAGCGUGAGUGACGGUAAUGGGUAAAGAAGCACCGGCUAACUACGUG